rnacentral:tRNA from 1 species
AGGGUUAUAGUUAAUUAUAACAUUUGAUUUGCACUCAAAAAAUAUUGAACUAGUUCAAUUUUCCUUU